UACGAAGGGGGCUAGCGUUGUUCGGAUUUACUGGGCGUAAAGGGCGCGUAGGCGGCCGAUCAAGUCGGAGGUGGAAUCCCUCGGCUCAACUGAGGAAUUGCCUUCGAUACUGUUCGGCUUGAGUCCUGGAGAGGGUAGCGGAAUUCCCGGUGUAGCGGUGAAAUGCGUAGAGACCGGGAAGAACACCAGUGGCGAAGGCGGCUACCUGGACAGGUACUGACGCUGAAGCGCGAAAGCUAGGGGAGCAAACAGG
rnacentral:rRNA from 1 species